rnacentral:rRNA from 1 species
AUUGAACGCUGGCGGCGUGCCUAACACAUGCAAGUCGAGCGGAGCGGGGAACGGGUGAGUAACGCGAGAGUAACUGCCCCCCUAUCUGGGAUAAAAUUUGGAAACGGCUGCUAAUACCGGACAGUGGGGGAUGUCUCGCGACCUAUCAGCUUGUCGGUGGGGUAGUAGCCUCCCACGGCGACGACGGGUAGCCGGCCGGCGAGUGCGACCGGCCGCAUUGCUCUGAGUUACUGCCCAAACGCGUACGGGGGGCAGCAGUGGCGAGUAUUGCACAGGGGUGGAGACUCUGAUGCGGCACCGCCGCGGUCGGGAUGACGGCCUUCGUGUUGUAACCCGCUUUCAGCCAUGACGCGGUAGUGGCAGAAGAAGCACCGGCUAACUUCGUGCCAGCAGCCGCGGUAAUAC